rnacentral:rRNA from 1 species
UUGCCCCGAGAUGAGUUCUCCCUGACUCCUUGAGAGUCCUGAAGGAACGUUGAAGACGACGACGUUGAUAGGCCGGGUGUGUAAGCGCAGCGAUGCGUUGAGCUAACCGGUACUAAUGAACCGUGAGGCUUAACCUUACAACGCCGAAGCUGUU